AUAUGAGCCGUAGCUAGUGGCGCGAGAUGAGAAUAUUGUCACGGAGAUAACGACCGGAGAGAAUAUUAUUCUUUAAUAUUGUUGCGAAAUUAAAGCGAUUUCGGAAUGAAUCGAGCGCUCAAAUAGUAUACCUCCAACUCCGGACGACAUCUUCGAUACGGUUCGGUAGUUUUUUGGCCCGAUCGAACUGAAAGUGCCUGCAAUUAACCGGACGGAAAGGACAGACGACCCUGCAGGUAUUCUAUGCGCGACGUGUCGUGCCCGCGAAAAAUCCAUAACGCCAGGGGAAGAAAACUGCUCUAUUCGAGAAUAGAUAGCGAUGUUACUGUUGUCGGUGUAUCGAGAUCGCGUCGGAUCGUAACGCACAAAAUUGAAAUUUACGAUAUAGUUUUUCGAGUGGCGAGCGUCGCGGCGACGUUCGCGCUCUAUAAUAUUAUGUGCACCGCCGUAUAAAAUAAUAAUGAUAAUAUAAUGCAAUAAAACGCUACCGUU